CACAUCCUUGAGGAAUGCCCGCUCCAUCACGGCCGUGUGACUUCCUACAAACUCUUUCAUCAUCUGAAGAUUCAUAUCAAUGCGUUUCUGACUCGGAAAUUCUCUUGUUUAUUUCAUUAUAAGGGAACAAAUCCCUUUGAAAUGGUUCUAAAAAAUCUGUGUGGUUUCUUUUCUUUUAGAUACCUUUUAUAUCAACAGUGCGCCAGUAGGCCUUUGCUGUCUGAUCAGCCCUAGAAAAGUGUUUGGAACCAAAACAUCUCCUAUCUGCCAUGUGCAGUUUCCCAAUAGGAAGACUAGGAUGAUUUCUUGGAGAGGCUGGCGACGCCUUGUCAUCUUUAGAACUCCUGCUAAGAGGGAAUAUUUAACAUACCCCGUAAAGAGGCAACUGUAUUAUGCGCGCUGGGAGUCACCAUGCAGCUGUAACCUACCCUUGUUGCCUUUACGGAGGCCCAGGAGAGACUGUGACCCAUGAGACUAGGCUCCUCUGUCAGCACUGACCUCGCCCCCUCUAUCUGGUAUUUGAUGAGAGACGCUCACAACAAAGCCGUGAUGGGUGAUUGGAUGAUAUGGCCUGGCCAGGCUUCCCCUGGAAUUCUCAGCUGAUGGAUUUUCCCACAUGGUGUGAGAAAGCUAUCAAAAAGUUCUCAAGGCAAAAUUGAUUUUAAUUAGUCGUUUUAAAAAGAGAUAUAAAACAUGUAGCAACUCUCUAGAGACAUGGGAAGGGUAUCGUGAAGUCCGAGAAGCUCAGCUGAGCUACAUGUUUUAUAUCUGUGAAAUUCUGGCUGCCUGGUGACUUUUGUCGGGUCGCCUGACCCUGGAGGAGGCAAAGGGUUGGUUGGUUGGUUUGUUUGGGGUAGAGGAGUUGGUAAAACCUUUUAAGCUGUUCUUCAGACAUCUCCUAAGUCUGUGGUUUUCAUCUUGUUCUGAAAUCCAAUCUGAGCUCGGAAUGGGAUGUAUGCGUCAAGGUGCUUUUAACAACAGGACUGUUUAGUGCAGGGUAGAAACAUCUUUGAGUCAGAUCCUGCCUUCAGCGUGCACUUGUUUGUGUUAAAGGAGCUUGCAGAGCUGAGGGUAAAGUUCGAAUUCCGCUGUAGGAAAUCAGAAUAUGAGGCACUGGGCUAUUGAAUUUCACUUUUCCCCGUGCCGACAUUGGCUUUCCUCGGGAACGUCACCAACCAGCGAGACCUAGUUCACUUGCCUGAUUUUUUAUUUUUCUCCACUACCCCAAAUCCAGAGAUACAAAUCCGGAGCUUAGGGAGGGUCUCAUGUAGAUUUGUAAUAUUCCUGAGGGUCUGUGGGAUCUUAAUCACUUGCAUAUUUUAUUUAUAAAGCAAAUGUUCCAUGACAUUGAAACAUUAAAUGGAUUAUACUCAGCCAUGUGCAAUGUAUAAUUUUCUAAAAUCUCUGAUUAAUUUAAUAUGGGUGAUUCUCAUUCUUUGAUAUGUGACCUUGGUGUAAUUUAUAACAAGCUAUAAAUAUUUGAAAUACCGUGGAAAUGUGGUUUGGGGAAUAGUAUUAACACCUGCCUUAUAUGCUAGUUGGGUUAGAUUAAACCCUGAGUGUAUGUACAUGGCUAUGUUUCUGCACUCCUCUUUGAGCUGUGUUCCAUCUCAAUCUGUAUAUGUAAUGACUGGUUGGAUUUUAAGGUAAGGGGUUCUCAAUAUUAGCUGUUCUUCCAAAACCAAGUCUAAAUGUUGGGGAUUGUGUGGCAGCAUUCCUUCUUUUCUGCCCUUUUUAAUUCCUUUCUUCUCCACACAUUCCCAGCUCAGCUGGUGCGUUGUCAUCAGGACAGAGGUAACACAGUCCCCGUCUAAGUCUGAUGUAGCCUUGGCGACCCACCCUGGGAACAAGGGUAAGGAUCGUCACCCAAUCCGAUGCUUCCCUGCCUCGAUGGAAAGGCAGCCUCCAGCCCAGGAGAUGAGACUUCUCUCUGCCCGUGGCCCCUCGCAGGUCCAGCUUGUCCUUAGGAAGACAUAGAGUGAGCGUAAAGCAGAACAGCCCAUGAGAGCUUCUGGCUUUUCCCUAAGCGCUUUCCUGCCUCUGCUGCUAAGUGAUGUAAACCUCGCUGAACCUCGCUUCCCUUAUCUGCCUUCUCAGGAUUCCAUGGCAAGUGAUGGCUGUGUUUUUAAUGUAUUUCUUCUCGGAACAAUAAAAAAGAAAACAGAAAACAAUGGUCCUGGCAAAUAACUAAUAUUUAGUGAGGGCCACACAGGUUUUACUUCCCUUUUCUGCUGUUCCCCUUCUACUUUAAGGGAGCCACAAAAGAGUGGAGUUACUUCUUUGGUAGUCUGCAAGAUUAGUGAUUUAUGGAGUCAGCUGGGGGUCGAUACCCCCCCACGUGAAUUUCCGACUUUCGGAGUGCAUUUCUGGCGGGUAAUGUGCCUGGAGAAGCUUGAGAAUCAAUGAAGCCAACCUGCCAGGUGCUGCUACAACCUGGCAUUUGGAAAAUGACAUCAGGGUAUCUCCAUGCAGAGUGACAUUGGCUUCAGCUGGUCAUAGCAGCCUUUGCAAAGUCCUCUGUGUUAAGAGUUAGAAUAAAAUAUGUUUUUUUUCCAUAUAUUUUAGUCUUCAUGUAAACAAUAUGUUCACCUUAAAAGGCAAUGCAGGAAGCUUUUUAAAUGGAAAAUCAAGCUAAAGAUAAAAACAACACUUUGAAUAAACUGUAUUAGCAAACACUGAAAGCAGUAACUUAUUAAAAUAAUGUUUUGUAAUUCUUAUUCACUCAGCCCAGUGUUUUUCAAAUAUUACUCUGUCUUCCUAGUGUUCCCAGUGGGAGUGGAAAACAGGCCCAUUUAGGAACUAUGUAAGGUGACUUUGCUUACACAGAGAGCUGAAGCCUAGACAUUCAGGUGUGCUGGCAGGUAGGGAAGGCCCUGGCUGAGUGCCUGUUGCCUAAUUCGUUAAAAUUGACAGCAGCUAGCGUUCCCUGGUGGCCUAGCAUUUAAGGAUCCAAUGUUGUCACUGCUGUGGCACAGGUUCUAUCCCUGGCCCAGGAAUUUCGGCAUGCCGUGGGCAUGGCCAAAAAAAUUGACACCAUCUGAUGCUCUGAGACUGUUGCAAUUGCGAGCAUGUUAUUCCUUGGACGGUGGCACUUCCAGGAAGGUAUUUUAAUUUUGGAAGAUGUUCUCUUGGGAGAAACUGGCUUGUUGUUUGCUGCUUUUGGAUGGUUCUCAGUGUCUUUCUGUCUUCUCUGCAAUUUGUCAAAAUGCAAAAAAAAAAAAAAAAAUCUGGUACUGUGGUCUAGCGGUUAGCAUAAUAAGUCUUUAAAAAUGAGAACUAUAAUUGUAUACACGUAGGCAGUAUUAGUUUCCAGUGCCUGCUGUAACAUCACCACAUGGCUAGUGUCUUAAAACAACAUGCAUUUAUUAUCCUGUAGCUCCGGAGGUCAGAAUUCUAAAAUGGUUAGGCAGGGCUGGUGCUCCUUCUGAGGCUCUAGGGGAGAAUCCCUUUUCUGGUUUUUCUUUUCCAGUUCCUAGAGGCUGUCUGUGUUUCUUGGCUGUUGGCCCUGCAUCACUCGGACCUCUGUCCCCUUCUCCCUGCCGCUUUCUCAUUUCCGACUCUGCCUCCUUGGCCUCUCUGUUAGAAGGACCCCUAUGAUGAUAUAGCACUGGGCCACCGGAUAAUCCAGAACUGUUUCUCUUCAUCAAAAGCUUGAUCACCUCUGCAAAGUCUGUUUUGCCACGUGAGGUGACAUAAUGACAGAGUCCAGGGAUUAGGAUGUAAACAUCUUUGGGGGGACAUUAUCCUGCCUGCCUGGACAUUAACCUUCUUGUGCCUCAGUCUCUUCAUUUGUAAAGGACCAGCUCACACGCCCAUCCAUCCUUUGAGGUUUGGUGAAAUAUCUUCCCCAGAGUGUUGUAAGCACCUUGGGAGCUAGUUUCUAGGUGAAUAAAAGGUGGGUGACAACACUAUGCUAGGUGAAAUCUGAAACAUAGGUGAUCCCGAAGUUUCUCGUUGCACCUUGUUUUAUCACCUGACCUCUCAUUUGUUAUUUGACAUCCCCCCCACCCCGCCCCGGCUGUGUCCUGCUGACCAGAUGACAUUGCACUAUCUUCCUAUUUGUGGUCUUGUCCGCUUUAAUCCAGUUUAUGUCUGAGUCCCAGCCCAGCACAGAUCACUUCUGCCCUAAACCAUCUGACAGCGUCUGAACUCGUGAGCCUGCAUCCUGGACCUGCCGCAGUGGCCCGCCGCAUUCCCAAGUCCCCAGCGUUGCCAAACCUGUCUUCUUCCACUGCCCUCAAUGUGCUCUUCCUUCCGACUGACUCAGGCCCUCGCUGCCCCCCCUGAGGAUGCUGGGUCGCCUCCUGGCCCUGGGUCUCACACCGUCUCCGUUCCUAGGCCACCUCCCAUGUCCUCCAGUUCCGACGCCUCCAGGAGCCGUGAAGGAGCCUGCCUUCUCUGAGCCCUCUGGAAAUUGGCUCCACCACUCAUUUGGCCGUCGUUCGGGGGUGUCUGAUUUGGUUGAUCACCUUUUCAUGUCAAUAGGUCUUAUUUCUCUGACUAAUUAUCCUCCUGAGGUCGGGGAUGUACCUUCCACAGUGGCGAGCGCUCCACUCAGCACUCAGCACCCAGUAAGCCUUAAAUACAUCUUUCUUGAGAGCAGUGUGUGUGAACAGGGAUUAGCUUUGCAGGCCUUUUGUUCUGCGGUUUAUUUUCCUGUGCUACUAAUCAGGUGCUUGAGGCCAUUUAAAUAUAUUGACAGUGACUUUCCUCGCUUGCACAUGGAGGUCCCCCUCGGUCUCCUGUGGAAACGUAUGUGCUGGCUCAUUUUUUUUAGGACUGCAAAACUAUGUGAAACUUCACGGAGGUGCUGUGGUGAGCCAGCCAGACACUCUUACAGUUUAGACAGCAGAGACUGCUCCCAAGCUUCUGCACAUCUAUCUGGCCGGGCCUGUCUAAAAAGACAUUUCCAAACGAUGGAUGAGGAAGGAAAGCCUCUAGCCACGUUAGGAACGAAUGUAACGCAGCACUGUCAGCCAUCGAGGAGACUUCGAAGGAUGCUGCUGUGUGGUGGAGAACCAUUUCUGGAAGCUUUAGUGGUCAAAAGGAGACAGGACUGUCAGACCUGUCCUAGGUUCGUGGCCUCUCUGAGAGCCGGAUGCGUGACUUGGGGACGAUUCCCCUUGCGGCAGCCCAGUAGCAGGAGGAAGCUAGGACUGGACAUUUGGGACCAGGCAGUUUUGUUUAGUAAAAGACAUAAUUAAUGUUCGAUCCCUGGCCUUGCUCAGUGGGUUAAGGAUCCGGCGCUGCCAUGAGCUGUGGUGUGGGUUGCAGACGCGGCUUGGAUCCCGCGUGGCUGUGGCUGUGGUGUAGGCCGGCAGCUGCAGCUCUGAUUGGACCCCUCGCCUGGGAACCUCCAUAUGCUGCGGGU
rnacentral:lncRNA from 1 species